rnacentral:lncRNA from 1 species
UGUAAAGUGCAUAACUAUAUAUAUACAAUACAUUAAUAUAUACGUUGAUGUAUAUGACCAUAUAUACACUUAUUAUUACUAUAUACCUUUAUUAACGUAUAUGUACACUGAUUUAUAUACUACACACACUCACUGUCACACUCACUCUCAUUCUCACCCUCACACUCACACUCAUACUCACUCACUCAUACACACACACACUCACACACUUACACUUACACUCGCACCAGCACUCUCACUCUCACUCGCACUCACACUGACAUUGACACUUACACACACUCACACUCACACUCACACUCACAAAUAUAUAUACUAUCACUUGUAAUCAAAUAUGCAAUUGCGAAAUUCCUUAUUACUUUGUAAAAAAUUAGGCAUAAGAAUGGGUUUCUUCUCUUG